GCUGGAACGAUUUCUAGAAGGAACACAAAGAGAGGCGGAGAAGCCACUGAAGAAAGAAAGAAAGGAGUAGAGGCUGGGAGCAGGGGGCGGCGUGGGGAAUGCAAAGGAGGAAGAGGGGAGUGGCUGCUGCUGGCCGGAGCCGGCGUCUCUGGUUUUGGUCUGGCCGUGGGCCAGCAGGCAGCGGACAGCACAGCACGACGGGCUUGGAGAGCUGGCAGGGCGCUGCGACAGAAAGAGGACGCCGGUCAGGGUGCUGGGGGAGGGGACCCUCUGCCCACCCAACCCCGCCUGGCCAAGGAAAUGUCCGUGU
rnacentral:lncRNA from 10 species